UGAGUAAAAAUAUGCAUAUGGCAACUGGCUCUAGAAUUAAAUACGUGUUUUGAAUAAAUUGGCUAAAAAACGAGUUCGCCCCACCGCCAAUAAAUUAUUGUCGCCCAAGUAGAAAGUCGAAUUUUUCGACUAGUGACAUUCAAUUUUACUCUCAUACUGUACAUUAUACUUGACGUCGGAAGUAGUGCGCUGUAUAGCCAGAACACAUACGAAUCCGAUUCGUUCUAACCAAUUCGAGCUUUCGAACAUCGUUGCUUUCGUACGAACGUGCCAUUCUUGUUUACGUACGCAUGCGUGUCCGUAUUCUUUUUGCUCUCGUUCGCAAACGUCAGUCAAAAGUUGCGAAUCGCCGGCGCCGGUAGUUUUUUCUCGUUUUUUUCUGUUUUUUGCAAGUUUUAUUUGUUGAAAAAUCGAAUAAGUCGAAGAAAAUUUGUUUUGUGAAGUGUGUGCAACAUUUGUGGUAAUCGAUUUCCAAAAAUUUUCCAGUUUUGGGAAGAGGAAUACCGCCAGUCGAAAGUUGCGAAUGGCUGUACGUGUCGCCGUCGCCGCGGGUUUUUCUCUCGUUUUGUGCAAGGUUUAUUGGAAAAAUCAAAUAGACCGAAGGAUUUCUAGUUUAGUGAGCAGCAUUUUGAAGAAAGUCAUUUGUGAAAAUUGACUUUAAAAAAUUUCCAGUUUUGCAAACGGAGCAGCAACGUUAGUCAAAAGUUGUGAAUCGCUAUACGUAUCUCUUCACGAAUCGCCGGCGCCGGUAGUUUUUUUUUGGUGUUUUAUGUUAGCUUGCUAGAAAAAUCGAAAAGGCCGAAGAAAAAUUAUUUAGUGAAGUGUUUAAUAAAAAAAAACAUUUUUAACAAUCGAUUUUUAAAAAUUAAUUUUGGUAACGGAACAGCAAUAGCAGUCUAAAGUUGCGAAUCGCUGUACAAAUCGCCGUCGCCGCGGGUUGUUUUGGCUGUUUCGUGUGAAAAAAAUCGGAUAAGUUGGACAAAAUGUUUUUUAGUGUUGAAAGUUAGUAAAUAUUUCGGCAAUCGACUUUAAAAACCUCUAGUCUUUGGAACGGAGCACAGCAGGUAGAAAGUGAUUGAGGUUUACCAUUAGCUGAGCGGUAGGGAGAUAAAUUAGUAGCUGCCACCAAGUAAGCCACAAUGAAAGUAGUUGAGGUUGCUGCAGUGGCCGUCAGAGAAGGAAUAAUUUUAUUGCAACUUGUGAACCAACAAGCAGAGCUAGCUGCGUUUAAUAUAUGAAAUCGAUCGGUAAUCAAUCUUAACGGAAUAAAGAUUUAUCCUUCACGUAAACAGCAAAAUUCGUUGCUAACGCUUAUACAUUUAACGCCAACGAAUAAGAAAAUAUGUUGCAUCACUGGUCGAUGGAUGGAUUUAUUAAUGUUUACAAGGCAGGUCAAAUAAGCAAAAAGACCGAUUUCAGUGGUCAGGAUACAGAGCCGUUGGUGAAACCGAAUUAUUAGGAACAAGAUUCAGCACCGGUUGGAAUACCUCGUCGAUCAUACCAAUAUCGGUUUUUUAUGGGGACCAGUGCCGAGACAGCUGAUUACAGCGUAUUGUGCCGCUCAUUGUUACGAUACUCUUCCGACUUGGUUCAAUAAUGGUGGCAACAUGAACACUUAUUCGACUUAGCAAACUAAGUACUUAUCGUAGGCAGAUUUUUGUUUUUUGAGUUAUUUUCUAGCAUUUUAGUACAAACUUUCAAAGCAAUGUAGCCCAUAAACCUUUUAUUGUAUAAAACAGUCUGAAAAUGAAAUGUGAAAAACAAAUAGUGCAUUGUAAAAACAUAUUUUUGAAGUAAAAAAUAAAUUCUAAGUUUUAAUUAACGAAA